rnacentral:rRNA from 1 species
GAAGGUGGCCUGUGAGGGUUGCUGGAGGUAUCAGAAGUGCGAAUGCUGACAUAAGUAACGAUAAAGCGGGUGAAAAGCCCGCUCGCCGGAAGACCAAGGGUUCCUGUCCAACGUUAAUCGGGGCAGGGUGAGUCGACCCCUAAGGCGAGGCCGAAAGGCGUAGUCGAUGGGAAACGGGUUAAUAUUCCCGUACUUGGUGUUACUGCGAAGGGGGGACGGAGAAGGCUAUGUUGGCCGGGCGACGGUUGUCCCGGUUUAAGCGUGUAGGUGUGUGUUCCAGGUAAAUCCGGUUCACUUUAACACUGAGGCGUGACGACGAGGCACUACGGUGCUGAAGCAACAAAUGCCCUGCUUCCAGGAAAAGCCUCUAAGCAUCAGGUAACAUCAAAUCGUACCCCAAACCGACACAGGUGGUCAGGUAGAGAAUACCAAGGCGCUUGAGAGAACUCGGGUGAAGGAACUAGGCAAAAUGGUGCCGUAACUUCGGGAGAAGGCACGCUGACAUGUAGGUGAAGUGAUUUACUCAUGGAGCUGAAGUCAGUCGAAGAUACCAGCUGGCUGCAACUGUUUAUUAAAAACACAGCACUGUGCAAACACGAAAGUGGACGUAUACGGUGUGACGCCUGCCCGGUGCCGGAAGGUUAAUUGAUGGGGUCAGCGCAAGCGAAGCUCCUGAUCGAAGCCCCGGUAAACGGCGGCCGUAACUAUAACGGUCCUAAGGUAGCGAAAUUCCUUGUCGGGUAAGUUCCGACCUGCACGAAUGGCGUAAUGAUGGCCAGGCUGUCUCCACCCGAGACUCAGUGAAAUUGAACUCGCUGUGAAGAUGCAGUGUACCCGCGGCAAGACGGAAAGACCCCGUGAACCUUUACUAUAGCUUGACACUGAACAUUGAGCCUUGAUGUGUAGGAUAGGUGGGAGGCUUUGAAGUGUGGACGCCAGUCUGCAUGGAGCCGACCUUGAAAUACCACCCUUUAAUGUUUGAUGUUCUAACGUGGACCCGUUAUCCGGGUUGCGGACAGUGUCUGGUGGGUAGUUUGACUGGGGCGGUCUCCUCCUAAAGAGUAACGGAGGAGCACGAAGGUUGGCUAAUCCUGGUCGGACAUCAGGAGGUUAGUGCAAUGGCAUAAGCCAGCUUGACUGCGAGCGUGACGGCGCGAGCAGGUGCGAAAGCAGGUCAUAGUGAUCCGGUGGUUCUGAAUGGAAGGGCCAUCGCUCAACGGAUAAAAGGUACUCCGGGGAUAACAGGCUGAUACCGCCCAAGAGUUCAUAUCGACGGCGGUGUUUGGCACCUCGAUGUCGGCUCAUCACAUCCUGGGGCUGAAGUAGGUCCCAAGGGUAUGGCUGUUCGCCAUUUAAAGUGGUACGCGAGCUGGGUUUAGAACGUCGUGAGACAGUUCGGUCCCUAUCUGCCGUGGGCGCUGGAGAA